GGCAGGCUGCUUGGCAAAGUUGUUUUGGAGCAACGUGCGUUAUGUAUUGCAAAUAUCUGAAUGAAUUGACAUGAAUUGCACUAAAGGACUGUACAAGAACAGAAUCGUACAUACGUGCACGUGUAAACGAAGUGAAUAAUCUGUUAAGAGAGACGAUGACGGUGAGCUUGUAUCAGCAACUUGUGUAUAAAAUUACUAGAUCUGUGGAAUUACUGUCCUCGUGAUGAUCAAGGUAAUGCCAAUUUGUUCAUACUGAUAUCAGUAUGGUCAAUGUCGGAAGUUAAGCUUGCAAGGUCAUCCACCAAAAUCCAAAAGUGAGCCCCCAGACAGGGAUGACCGUCCGAAUGUGUCCGCUUACUCAACUUGGAAAGGGGAAGUAAUGUAUACUAGUUUUGAAAGAGGUGUACUCAAUGUAUAACCAGCUGAUAACCAAGUGACUGAAACAGAAGAGUCUGUAUCUCAUAGUCAUUGCCUCAGUUGACCUGAACUAGAAGAUGUCAAAACAUUUCAGUGAAAUCUCAGGAAAUGAAAUCAUCACAGCUAUCACAAAACAAAGACUGGAGUUCAGAGAAAGAGUUCAACACUUUGGAUAAAAUUAAUGAGGCAGUGACUUUCAUCUUCCAUGAAUCUGUAAGCACUUAAGACUACAGUUUUAUCAUGUUUAUGUUUCAGUAUAAGAAACUACUAAACAAAGGACAGUCGUUGACUACAAAAGAAAACCUGGGUAACAUGAUUGCCAAAUUCCAAGGUUUAAAAUUAAAAGAUUUAUUUUUCAUGAAUUCACCUAUGUUUAGAUUUUUUGACUAUGAAAUCAUUUGGGUAUAAGAUCAAUUUGAAUGGCAAACGAGCAGACGACUUGGUAAUGAUAGGAUCAUGUGUGAAAAAUAUCACUCAAAUUGUGAAUAUUUACUAGUUAUUGUGUUUUUGGUGUGGAUGGAAAUGUAUAACAAAAAGGAUAACAAAAAAUAAUUAUCUGUGUAUAAAUAAAAAACAAGUUUUAUAUUAUACAAUUAAGUUAGUUCAAUGAUUUAUUUACGUGAAGAGUACAUUAUACUCUGACCUCAAAAACA